ensembl:lncRNA
UGCCCAUGGUAGUUACUGAGUCUGCAUACAGUAUGUCAAAGAUGUAUCCAACUACGGGACAAGAUGCAUCCAGACUGGAAAAACAUUUCUCGUAACAUAAAGAGGAUGAAAAAGUUGGCUGGAACUAUAGAGGUACUGGAAGCAGUAAACUGACUCAGGAGGACAUGCCCUGAAAGUGGCCUGGUCCUCCGUUCCCUCAAGGUAUCUAGUGUGUUUCCCUCUACACCCUCAUGUGUCUAGGACUAAUAGAAAGUCAGCACAAAAUAAAAUGUUCAGGUGGUUUGGAUUCUGGACUGGAGAUUACAUGGCGGGUGGAUUUUUGCAGUGGUUGUCAAAACUCCUCUGGAACCCACCGUUAUUCCAUAUAUAACAGCUUGCCCACCUGAUCCAAUUAGAGGGAAACACUCGCUAACAUUCCCAAAGAAAGAAAUCAACAAUCGGAAAUGUGCAGGUAAAAUGCCUAGCCCUUCAAUUUUAAAUUGGGUAGUUCAGGGCUUUAACCAAAGCUUUACUCAAGCAGCUAGAUGUCAUAGUCUACAUAUUCCGAUCACUUCUCCAUUCACAAAUUAUUACAUUUUGGUGGGUUAGCAGGUGCUGUGAGCCAGAGAGACCAACAGGAGCAAUAAAGUUUAGGCCUUGCUCAAUAAAGUUUAGGCCUUCCCCAGCUGAAGUAAGAACUUUCAGCUGGGGAAUUUGAACAUUUCAGUUACCAGCCCAAAACUGAAUGAAAGGCUACUGCUCAGUUACCCUUUGUGACUGGAUGUGAGCAGGGGUCGUGUUUCGUAGAUGCAUCCAUAGUUUACACCACCCCAAAGAUAUGAACUCCUUUUAGGCCCGGUAGCCUGUCUGUGAUAGUCUGCAGCAUCCGAGCUCUGAAUAAACAGACAGAUAUGGUCACUGAUGGGAUGGAGAGGAACAGUAAAAAGACAUAGAAUAAUUAAUAGACAUGAACAGAAGGGUUUUUCAUUAGCCAUGUAGAUUGUAAUUUAAUCUGUUAUUUUAACUGGUAAGUUUACU